rnacentral:rRNA from 1 species
UACGAAGGGGGCUAGCGUUGCUCGGAGUCACUGGGCGUAAAGGGUGCGUAGGUGGUGAGGUAAGUCGGAUGUGAAAGCUCUGAUCUCAACUCCGAAAUGGCAUUGGAAACUACCUUGCUCGAGGGAUGGAGGGGGGACUGGAAUUCUCGGUGUAGCAGUGAAAUGCGUAGAUAUCGAGAGGAACACCUGCGGCGAAGGCGGGUUGCUGGGCUGACACUGACGCUGAGGCGCGAAAGCUAGGGGAGCGAACGGG